UACGUAGGGUCCGAGCGUUGUCCGGAAUUAUUGGGCGUAAAGGGCUCGUAGGCGGUUUGUCGCGUCUGCUGUGAAAACUCGGGGCUUAACCCCGGGCCUGCAGUGGGUACGGGCAGACUAGAGUGCGGUAGGGGAGACUGGAAUUCCUGGUGUAGCGGUGAAAUGCGCAGAUAUCAGGAGGAACACCGGUGGCGAAGGCGGGUCUCUGGGCCGAUACUGACGCUGAGGAGCGAAAGCGUGGGGAGCGAACAGG
rnacentral:rRNA from 1 species